rnacentral:rRNA from 1 species
AUGCAGACAACACCGGGCACGGCGGCGGCGUUCUCCGGCCAGAUCCGGUCGAGGAGGCGCGACAGGGGCCGGUUCCUGUGUCGGGGAAGGCGUGGAGGCGUUCUAAGAGGCACGGGAGGAGGUCCAGCGGCGGGGCUUGAACUCCAAGUUCAUGGAGGCGGCGUUCCUCGCCGGUUCCAAGCGAGAUGGCGAGCUCCGAUAGGGGGGGAUGAGGUGCACGACGGCAGGCGGCAGCAGCUCUGCUGCGUGCAGCCAGAGAGAGAGGGGGAGAGAGAUGAGAGAGANNNNNNNNNNNNNNNGAGAGAGAGAGAGAGAGAGAGAGAGAGAGAGAGAGAGAGAGAGAGAGCAGGGAGGAAGAAGGGAGGGAAGGGGCGGCCGGAUCCUGCGAGGCUGGGUUGGAGCCCCGGUGGUGGUGCUGCUGCUGUUGGCACAUUUGAUGCAGAGCAGCCACUGAGUUCACACGCAUGGUGGCGCCAUACAUCGGGUGCAUGGUGGCAGAGUUCACAAGCCAGGUCACUGAUUGGCGUAAUGGUUGUCCUGAUGCAGAGGAGGACAAGGUUCAAGGUGCUGGGCCGGUGA